GAUGAAGAACGUAGCGAAAUGCGAUAAGUAAUGCGAAUUGCAGAAUUUCCGUGAGUCAUCGAAUCUUUGAACGCACAUUGCGCCCACUGGUAUUCCGGUGGGCAUGCCUGUUCGAGCGUCAUUAUCCUCCCUCAAACCCCGGGUUUGGUGUUGGACCCAAGUUGUGUGAACAACUGGUCUCAAAGACAAUGACGGCGUCCGUGGGACCCUCAGUGCAACGAGCUUUUAGGAGCACGCAUCGAGUUGCAAGGACCUUCCGGGCCGGUCUCCUUUACCAUUUUACAGGGUCGACCUCGGAUCAGGUAGGAAUACCCGCUGAACUUAAGCAUAUCAAUAAGCGGAGGA
rnacentral:misc_RNA from 1 species